CGGGCUGUAGCUCAGUUGGUAGAGCGCGCGGAUGGGGUCCGUGAGGUCGUGGGUUCAAGUCCCGCCAGCCCGA
rnacentral:tRNA from 1 species